rnacentral:rRNA from 1 species
GAUGAACGCCGGCGGCGUGCCUAAUACAUGCAAGUCGAGCGAACGGACGAGAAGCUUGCUUCUCUGAUGUUAGCGGCGGACGGGUGAGUAACACGUGGAUAACCUACCUAUAAGACUGGGAUAACUUCGGGAAACCGGAGCUAAUACCGGAUAAUAUUUUGAACCGCAUGGUUCAAAAGUGAAAGACGGUCUUGCUGUCACUUAUAGAUGGAUCCGCGCUGCAUUAGCUAGUUGGUAAGGUAACGGCUUACCAAGGCAACGAUGCAUAGCCGACCUGAGAGGGUGAUCGGCCACACUGGAACUGAGACACGGUCCAGACUCCUACGGGAGGCAGCAGUAGGGAAUCUUCCGCAAUGGGCGAAAGCCUGACGGAGCAACGCCGCGUGAGUGAUGAAGAUCUUCGGAUCGUAAAACUCUGUUAUUAGGGAAGAACAUAUGUGUAAGUAACUGUGCACAUCUUGACGGUACCUAAUCAGAAAGCCACGGCUAACUACGUG